rnacentral:rRNA from 1 species
UACGUAGGGGGGCAAGCGUUGUCCGGAAUCAUUGGGCGUAAAGCGCGUGUAGGCGGCUAGGUAAGUCUGCUCUGAAAGCCCGGGGCUCAACCCCGGGAGGCGGGUGGAUACUGUCUAGCUCGAGUCCGGAAGAGGAGUGUGGAAUUCCUGGUGUAGCGGUGAAAUGCGCAGAUAUCAGGAGGAACACCAAUGGCGAAGGCAGCACUCUGGGACGUGACUGACGCUGAGACGCGAAAGCGUGGGGAGCAAACAGG